AUUGAACGCUGGCGGCAGGCCUAACACAUGCAAGUCGAACGGUAACAGGAAGAAGCUUGCUUCUUUGCUGACGAGUGGCGGACGGGUGAGUAAUGUCUGGGAAACUGCCUGAUGGAGGGGGAUAACUACUGGAAACGGUAGCUAAUACCGCAUAACGUCGCAAGACCAAAGAGGGGGACCUUCGGGCCUCUUGCCAUCGGAUGUGCCCAGAUGGGAUUAGCUAGUAGGUGGGGUAACGGCUCACCUAGGCGACGAUCCCUAGCUGGUCUGAGAGGAUGACCAGCCACACUGGAACUAAGACACGGUCCAGACUCCUACGGGAGGCAGCAGUGGGGAAUAUUGCACAAUGGGCGCAAGCCUGAUGCAGCCAUGCCGCGUGUAUGAAGAAGGCCUUCGGGUUGUAAAGUACUUUCAGCGGGGAGGAAGGGAGUAAAGUUAAUACCUUUGCUCAUUGACGUUACCCGCAGAAGAAGCACCGGCUAACUCCGUG
rnacentral:rRNA from 1 species